rfam:Trichobilharzia regenti genome assembly, scaffold: TRE_scaffold0030572
AUCCAGUUGACGAGUCCCAAACAGGACGAAAUGCGCAUCCUGGAU